AACUGGAUCAUGGGACUGUUUCUCACAUACUGUUCUUGUGGUAGUGAAUAAGUCUCAUGAGGUCUGAAGGUUUUAUAAGGGGUUUCUCCUUUCACUUGGCUCUCAUUCUCUCUUGCCUGUUGCCAUGUAAGAUGUGCCUUUUGCCUUCGAUCAUGAUUGUGAGGCUUCCCCAGCCACAUGGAACUACUCCAGGUUCUUCAACUUCGUGACUCGGACUGGCUUCUUUGCUCUGAAGAUUGCAGACAGCCUAUUGUGGGAGCUCACCUUGUGAUUGUGUUAUGUUUAAUUUCUUCACACCACUCAAAACUCAGCUUCUGAUUUCAAGAGUUCAACAACAGCCCUGAAGGAUUCUGUCUGCUUUACAGCUAUAGGCAGCUUCUGAAAAGCCACUCUGCCCUAAGAAGUCAGCCUACAUAAUUGAAGACAAGUGAUGUAAAUAAUUUGCCCUGUAUGCUGGUCCCAUGUUCCUGGACUUCUCAGUCUCCCCCAGAACUGUAAAAAAUAAAUUUCCUUUCUUUAUAAAUUACCCAGUCUGUGGUAUUCUGUUAUAGUAAAGGAAAACAAGCUAAGGCAUUAUGUUAAAUCUUGUAAAAAGAACCUCUUUCCUAUGAUUAGAGCUCCUCUCAUAUGCAUAUAGAAAUCCAAUGUUGAAGCUAUCAUAAUUCUACUGAACCAUCAACUUCAACCCACCCAGGUAAGAUUAUGCCUUCUUGAAUAUAAGAGAAACUUCCCCAAUCCCUUACCCAACCAAAAGGAUGAAUCUUCGAGAAAAAUAUCAAAAAGCCCUGCUUCAAAUCAGUAAAUAUUUGGUGGUAGGGCUGAUUUAAACUUUCACAAAUGUAACAUCAUAUUGAAUCACAUCACAUUGAAUUUGUAAUGAAAAAAUGUGUUCCCCAGACGUCUUAUGACCUCUGAAACUUGGAAACCAAGUUGGCAACUGAGGAAAAAACUAUUAUUUCCAUCAAAAACUAUGGCAACAAAAACAUGGUCAUGUUCAUUUUAAUUACUUCUGCCAUUUUACUUGUCCCUCUUUCUAGUUAUCUUUCUUAAGAAUAUUAAUCAGUCUAAAGAGAAUAAAUGAUUUAUUAUUUUCAGAGAGGUAGGUGUUUUGAACAGAUCUUAGAGCCAUGUGGGUCAGUGUUGUCAAUCCCAGAUUUAUCUGUUUAAAAUGCAUGCCUCAUGGACUUACACUUAUUAAUGUUAUAAUGUAGGUAAGAAUCUUACCCAGUGCUCAGUACAUACUAAGUUGUGGGUAAAACCUGCUUAUUACUAAUUAUUCAACAAUUCACAGAAAAAUGGAAAAUUCAGUUGUUCAAAUUAUCACCAAUAUGGGUGUUUUCUUUAUAAUGUGAUAAGAUUAUUUGAAUUUUAUGACACAUAUGCCAUGAAUUUAAGAUAAGUAUAAUAUGGUUGCUUUAAGUUUUUCUUUUUCAAUUACAAUAAUAAUAAUACAAACCUCCUUAGAUCUAUACACUUGAGAUAUUUAAAACACAAUGUGUAUGCAAAACAUCAUAACCUGGUUCCUCAAAUCAACAAGGGACUAUGAGUUUUAUUUGUAUGAGAGGUCUUGGACCUGUGGUAUUUUGUUUACUACUUAUCACUUUUGAUGGCCACCCAUUUGAAUAGAGAUCUAAUCUGGCUCUGGGGGCAGGGAAGAUCUUGGGACAGGAAAACUACCCCUUUCUUUAGGAGAUGGCCCAUUGAUCUUUGCUUUUAUCAGCUCCUGCAACUAUCAUUUGAAGGUAAAGAUCAAGUUAUUUACAAAUUGCUUUAGAUUGAAAGGCAUUAGACUAGGCAAGGUGAAAAUUAAGAGCUUGUGAAUACAUUGUAGGUGGAAAUAAUUUUUGGAAACGAUUUCCCAGUAUAUAUAAUACACAAUUUCUAAAAUGAACAAAAGUUUGAAAUAAGUUUUAAAUAAGAUGUUGAAAAGAUGUAAGCGUAGCUGCUUUAAUCUUAAUCAAUGCAACUUGUGAUGAGGUAAUGAAGAGCAGGCAAUCAGUCAGAACCCAAUCUACCCAAAUGAAAUCUCAAACAACAGAGGAUAUUUUUUACUUUAGUUUGUGUUAAGAGAGAUGGGCAAUGUAAGUGCUAUGCAGAUUUAAUGUGCUAAUGAAAUAAAUUCAUCAAGAUUUAAAUUAUGGAGGAAAUUAAAAUAAGAAACUGUUCUGUACACAAAAGAGACUAUGUCCCAAGAGAAUAUCCAGCCUUGGUAAAGAACAACCCUAAUGAAUUUUAGAAUAGAUUUACAAAAUAUUAUAUAUCACCUGUUUUUAAAGACUUUUUAUUCUUUAGUUUCCUUAGUCAGUCCCUAGAAUUUUUAUUUAGGAAAGACCCUAGAAAUAGAAAUCUGAAAUGCUCAGCCAACAAAAGCUUUGUGAAGUUGUUUGCCCAGCCAAUGUAUUGUUGGUGGUUAGAUCAUUAGUCUACUACUUCGAUUUUGGGUGCUCAGUGAAGUACCUGGAGGCAUUCAAGGGUGUGAGCACAGAUAAUUUAAGGGAAUUAAUUUCUAAUUUAAAUAAUUUCAUCUUUUAUGUUAAAUAUUUCCUAAGGCCAUUUGAUGGAGCUUCAAGUUCUAAUUUUCUUUUUUUUUUCUUUUGAGAUGGAGUGUUGCUCUGUCGCCCAGGCUGGAGUGCAGUGGCAUGAUCUCGGCUCACUGCAAGCUCCGCCUCCCAGGUUCAUGCCAUUCUCCUGCCUCAGCCUCUCAAGUAGCUGGGACUACAGGCACCCGCCACCACGCCUGGCUAAUUUUUUUUGUAUUUUUUAGUAAAGACGGGGUUUCACCAUGUUAGCCAGGAUGGUCUCGAUCUCCUGAUCUCGUGAUCUGCCCUUCCUCAGCCUCCCAAAGUGCUGGGAUCACAGGCGUGAGCCACCAUGCCCAGCCCAAGUUCUAAUUUUCUGCCAUGUUAUAAUAAACCUCUCCCAAUUUUUCAAAGUAAAAUAUCUGUUGCCCAGCACUAAACUAGCAGGGUGAUUGCCCCAGAAAAUUACAAAGAUCCUAGGCAUCACUACUGAGACCAAUCAAAAUGUUUUUAUAAUGAUUUUGAAAAAAUAAAGAAUUUUAAUGACAGGAUAAAAAAUAAAUACAUUUGAAAAUCAAAUGAUUCCAACUAUCAGUUUUCAACAAAACUAAAGAAUUUACCUACUUGGAUUGUUUGUUGAUAGGCCACUUAAAAAUAAUAUUUGCUGAAGAAUUAGAAUGAGACAUUUACAAACACCUGAAAAGAGUUGAAAGAAUUCAAUGUCAUUGCUAGAAUAGCACACUUAUCCUCAUCUAUUUGUUUAUGUGGACAAGUUAUUUCAAUACCUACAUCUAUAAAGAUGAGUGUAUUAGUUCAUUUUCAUAUUGCUGUUACAGACAUGCCCGAGACUGGACAAUUUACAAAAGAAAGAAGUUUAUCAGACUUACAGUUCUAUGUGGCUGAGGAAACCUCACAAACAUGGCGGAAGUUGAAAGGCACAUCUCACAUGGUGGUAGACAAGAGAAGAGAACUUGUGUAGGGAAACUCUGAUUUUUAAAACCAUCAGAUCUGGCGAGACUCAUUCACUAUCAAGAGAACAGUGCAGGAAAGACCCGCCCCCAUAAUUCAAUCACCUCUCACCAGGUUCCUCCCAUGACAUGUGGGAAGUACAAUUCAAGAUGAGAUUUGCUUGGGGGCACAGCCAAACCAUAUUAUUCCACCACUGGCCUCUUCUAAAUCUCAUGUCCUCAUAUUUCAAAAACCAAUCAUGCCUUCCCAAUAGUCCUCCAUAGUCUUAACUCAUUUCAGCAUUAACUCAAAAGUCUACAGUACAAGGUCUCUUCUGAGACAAGUCAAGUCCCUUCUGCCUAUAAGCAUGUAAAAUCAAAAGCAAGUUAGUUACAUCCUAGAUACAAUGUGGGUACAGGCACUGGGUAAAUACAGCCAUUCCAAAUGGGAGAAAUUGGCCAAAACAAAGGGGCUACAACCCCAUGUAAGUCUGAAAUCCAGCAGAGCAGUCAAAUCUUGAAGCUCCAAAAUGAUAUUUUGACUCAAUGUCUUACAUCUCAGUCAUGCUGAUGCAAAAGAUUGCUUCCUGUGGUCUUAGGCAGCCUCGCUCCUGGCUGUUUCCAUGGGCUUGUGUUGAGUGUCUGUGGCUUUUCCAGGCUCACAGUGCAAGCUGUCAGUGAAUCUACAAUUCUGGGUUCUGUAGAAUGAUGUCCCUCUUCUCACAGCUCCACUAGGUAGUGCCCCAGUAGGGACUCUCUGUGGGGACUCCAAACCCACAUUUCCCUUCCAUGCUGCCCUAGCAGAGGUUGUAUAUGAGAGCCCUGCCCCUGAAGCAAACUUCUGCCUGGGCAUCCACUCGUUUCCAUACAUCCUCUGAAAUGUAGGCGGAGGUUCCCAAACCCCAAUUCGUCACUUCUGUGUACCAGCAGGGUCAACACCAUAUAGAAGCUGCCAAGGCUUGGGGCUUGAAUCCUCUGAAACCAUAGCCCAAGCUCUAGGUGUACCCCUUUCAGCCAUGGCUGGAGUAGCUGGGAUGUAGGGCACCAAGUCCUGCGCAUAGCACUGGGACCCUGGGCCCGACCCACAUAACCACUUUUUCCUCCUAGACCUCCAGGCCUGUGAUGGGAGGGGCUUGUGAAGAGCUUUGAAAUGCUUUGGAGACAUUUUCCCUGUUGUCUUUGGGAUUAACAUUUGGCUCCUAGUUACUUAGGCAAAUUUCUGCAGCUGGCUUGAAUUUCUCCUUAGGAAAUGGGAUUUUCUUUUCUAACGCAUUGUCUGGCUGCAUAUUUUCUAAACUUUUAUGCUGUGCUUCCCUUUUAAAACUGAAUAGCUUCAACAGCACCCAAGUCACCUCUUGAGUGCUUUACUGCUUGGAAAUUUAUUCCACCAGAAACCCUAAAUCAUCUCUCUCAAGUUCAAAGUUCCACAAAUCUCUAGGGCAGAGGCAAAAUGCUGCCAGUCUAUUUGCUACAACAUAACAAGAGUCACCUUUGCUCCAGUUCCUAAAAAGUUCCUCAUUUUUAUCUGUGACCACCUCAGCCUAGACUUUAUUGCCCAUAUUUCUAUUAGCAUAUUGGUCAAAGGCAUUCAACCAGUCUCUAGGAGGUUCCAAACUUUCCAACAUUUUCCUGUCUUCUUCUGAGCCCUCCAAACUGUUCCAACCUCUGCUUGUUACCCAGUUCCAAAGUGGCUUCCACAAUUUCAGGUAUCGUUUCAUCAGUGCCCCACCCUACUGGUACCAAUUUACUGUAUUAGUCCAUUUUCAUGCCACUGAUAAAGACACACUUGAAACUGUGCAAUUUAAAAAUAAAGAGGUUUACUGGACUUACAGUUCCACAUGGCUAGGGAGACAUCACAAUUAUGACAGAAGGUAAAAGGUCCAUCUGACAUGGUGGCAGACAAGAGAAGAGAGCUUGUAUAGGGAAAUUCCCAUUUUUAAAACCAUCAGAUCUCGUGAGACUCAUUCAUUAUCAUGAGAACAGUGCAGGAAAGACCUGCCCCAUAAUUCAACCACCUCCUACUGGGUUCCUCCCAUGACACAUGAGAAUUGUGGGAGUUACAAUUCAAGAUUAGAUUUGAGUGAGCGCACAGCCAGACCAUGUCAAUGACCUAAAAAAUAGUAAGAAUAGAAUGUAUGGUAAACUCUGUCCCAUUGUAAUAAUAAAUUAAUCAUUAAUAUAAAUUACGUUCUCAUAGAGAGCUGUGUUUUCAAAAAUCACUUUAAUUUGUUAAAGUUGUUUAUGAAAACAUGAUAAGUUUACAUCAUUUAUAACAGGGACUAAUAAUUACUAGAAGAAUAACUUACUCUUGAUUUUUUUUAUUUACAGAU
rnacentral:lncRNA from 10 species